AUAUCAAUAAGCGGAGGAAAAGAAACCAACAGGGAUUGCCCUAGUAACGGCGAGUGAAGCGGCAACAGCUCAAAUUUGAAAUCUGGCCUCGGCCCGAGUUGUAAUUUGUAGAGGAAGCUUUUGGCGAGGCACCGACUGAGUCCCCUGGAACGGGGCGCCACAGAGGGUGAGAGCCCCGUAUAGUUGGACGCUGAGCCUCUGUAAAGCUCCUUCGACGAGUCGAGUAGUUUGGGAAUGCUGCUCAAAAUGGGAAGG
rnacentral:rRNA from 1 species